AGUGUACGAAUACCUCCGGGUUUUAAAAUAUCGAACCACAGGGAUUGUGAGUGAGAAUUGUUGAUUUAAGUCUAAAGUUUGCAAGUUCUUAAAGCAGUAAAUUUCAAAGAUUGGUUUUGGUUGAUUGUGACGAAAGAUUUGCAAAAGAGCAAUGAUGAAUAAGUUGUGAAAAACAAAUGAUGGGAAAUUGCCUUGGGUUUUUUUUUUUCUUUUUCUUUUUUUUUUUUUUUUUUUUUUUUUUUUUUUUUUUUUUUUUUUUUUUUUUUUUUUUUUUUAUUUUUUUUUU
rnacentral:lncRNA from 1 species